AGGGCCGCUGAUGAGCGCGGACCAUCGAGAUCAAGGCCGCCGAGACAAUUCAGGGCGAGACGAUGCUGACCUGGGACGUGACGAUGCUGUGGUGGGACAUGAUGUACACGGAGGAGUUCGUGCCGGCCGAUGAGGGCGCCUACACCAUUGUGGAGGAGCACGCCUAGGAGAAGAAGGAGCACUCCCAGGAGAAGCUCUGCCUCUACAGCCUCUACAAGCAGGCCACCGUUGGCCCCGUCAACACCGUGGUAAGCCCUGUCUCAUCAUUUUGAAGGUCUACAAAAGUUCAGGCUGCAUGCAGCUAAUGCCAGCAGUUCCAGAAUGGAAAAUAUUUGGCACUUGGCAGGCGAAAAGAUAGUUUCUCCUGGAGCUAAGAGAGGGCUCAUUCCACUUGUUUGGAAGAGAAUACGAUGAAGCAUGGUGGUUAUCUAUCAAUCUGCCUUGUGUUUUGGUUGUACUUUGUACCUAGUUAUAUUGUAUUCUGUAGUAGUUAGCACAUUCUGGAGCAGAAUCCAGUGAAGUUGUAAAACUGUAAUAGUUCUGUUUCAUUUGAAAUAUUUGUCAUUUGUGUAUUGUGAGAAAUGUGAGAAAUGGAAAGCUGAUGAGUUGAGUUGGACUAA